rnacentral:misc_RNA from 1 species
AAGUCGUAACAAGGUCUCCGUAGGUGAACCUGCGGGGGGAUCAUUACUGAGUUCUGGUCUAACCGACCCGACCUCCAACCCUUUGUUAUCCAACUCUGUUGCCUCGGGGGCGACCCUGACCUUCGGGUCUCGGGGCCCCGGUGGACUAUUCAAACUCUGCGUUAACAUGUCGUCUGAGUAUUGAAUUAAAUCAAUCAAA